GUCCACGCCGUAAACGAUGUUCACUAGGUGUUGGGGGUAUUGACCCCCUCAGUGCCGGAGCUAACGCAUUAAGUGAACCGCCUGGGGGAGUACGGUCGCAAGACUAAAAACUCAAAGGAAUUGACGGGGCCCGCACAAGCGGUGGAGCAUGUGGUUUAAUUCGAUGCAACGCGAAGAACCUUACCUGGGCUUGACAUCCCGAGAAUUCCCUGGAAACAGGGAAGUGCCCUUCGGGGAACUCGGAGACAGGUGCUGCAUGGCUGUCGU
rnacentral:rRNA from 1 species